CCUGGUUGAUCCUGCCGGACCUGACUGCUAUCGGAUUGAUACUAAGCCAUGCGAGUCAUUGUAGCAAUACAAGGCAGACGGCUCAGUAACGCGUAGUCAAUCUACCCUAUGGACGGGAAUAACCUCGGGAAACUGAGAAUAAUACCCGACAGAACAUUAUACCUGGAACGGUUUAUGUUUCAAAUGAUUUAUCGCCGUAGGAUGGGACUGCGGCCUAUCAGUUUGUUGGUGAGGUAAUGGCCCACCAAGACUAUUACAGGUACGGGCUCUGAGAGGAGUAGCCCGGAGAUGGGUACUGAGACACGGACCCAGGCCCUAUGGGGCGCAGCAGGCGAGAAAACUUUGCAAUGUGCGAAAGCACGACAAGGUUAAUCCGAGUGGUUUCUGCUAAAGAAACCUUUUGCUAGUCCUAGAAACACUAGUGAAUAAGGGGUGGGCAAGUUCUGGUGUCAGCCGCCGCGGUAAAACCAGCACCUCAAGUGGUCAGGAUGAUUAUUGGGCCUAAAGCAUCCGUAGCUCGUUUUGUAAGUUUUCGGUUAAAUCCAUACGCUUAACGUAUGGGCUGCCGGGAAUACUGCAUAACUAGGAAGUGGGAGAGGUAGACGGUACUCGGUAGGAAGGGGUAAAAUCCUUUGAUCUAUUGAUGACCACCUGUGGCGAAGGCGGUCUACCAGAACACGUUCGACGGUGAGGGAUGAAAGCUGGGGGAGCAAACCGGAUUAGAUACCCGGGUAGUCCCAGCUGUAAACUAUGCAAACUCAGUGAUGCAUUGGCUUGUGGCCAAUGCAGUGCUGCAGGGAAGCCGUUAAGUUUGCCGCCUGGGAAGUACGUACGCAAGUAUGAAACUUAAAGGAAUUGGCGGGGGAGCACCACAAGGGGUGAAGCCUGCGGUUCAAUUGGAUUCAACGCCGGGG
rnacentral:rRNA from 1 species